GAUGAAGAACGUAGCGAAAUGCGAUAAGUAGUGUGAAUUGCAGAAUUCAGUGAAUCAUCGAAUCUUUGAACGCACAUUGCGCCCGCCAGUAUUCUGGCGGGCAUGCCUGUUCGAGCGUCAUUUCAACCAUCAAGCCCCAGGCUUGUGUUGGGGACCUGCGGCUGCCGCAGGCCCUGAAAACCAGUGGCGGGCUCGCUGUCACACCGGGCGUAGUAGAUUUUAUCUCGCUCAGGGCGUGCUGCGGGUUCCGGCCGUUAAAAAGCCUUUUUUACCCAAGGUUGACCUCGGAUCAGGUAGGAAGACCCGCUGAACUUAAGCAUAUCAAUAGCGGAGGA
rnacentral:misc_RNA from 1 species